rnacentral:rRNA from 1 species
ACGCGAGGAACCUUACCAGGUCUUGACAUCCUUCGCUACUUCUAGAGAUAGAAGGUUCCCCUUCGGGGGACGAAGUGACAGGUGGUGCAUGGUUGUCGUCAGCUCGUGUCGUGAGAUGUUGGGUUAAGUCCCGCAACGAGCGCAACCCUUGAUCUUAGUUGCCAGCAUUCAGUUGGGCACUCUAAGGUGACUGCCGGUGACAAACCGGAGGAAGGUGGGGAUGACGUCAAAUCAUCAUGCCCCUUAUGACCUGGGCUACACACGUGCUACAAUGGAUGGUACAAAGGGCUGCAAGACUGCGAAGUCAAGCCAAUCCCAUAAAACCAUUCUCAGUUCGGAUUGCAGGCUGCAACUCGCCUGCAUGAAGCCGGAAUCGCUAGUAAUCGCGGAUCAGCAUGCCGCGGUGAAUACGUUCCCGGGCCUGUACACACCGCCCGU